rnacentral:rRNA from 1 species
CCUACGGGAGGCAGCAGUGGGGAAUAUUGCACAAUGGGCGCAAGCCUGAUGCAGCGACGCCGCGUGCGGGAUGGAGGCCUUCGGGUUGUAAACCGCUUUUGUUCAAGGGCAAGGCACGGUCUUUGGCCGUGUUGAGUGGAUUGUUCGAAUAAGCACCGGCUAACUACGUGCCAGCAGCCGCGGUAAUACGGAGGGUGUAAGCGUUGUCCGGAAUCAUUGGGCGUAAAGAGUUCGUAGGUGGCAUAUUAAGUCUGGUGUUAAAUGCAGAAGCUCAACUUCUGUUCGGCACUGGAUACUGGUAAGCUUGAAUGCGGUAGAGGUAAAGGGAAUUCCUGGUGUAGCGGUGAAAUGCGUAGAUAUCAGGAGGAACAUCGGUGGCGUAAGCGCUUUACUGGGCCGUAAUUGACACUGAGGAACGAAAGCCGGGGUAGCAAAUGGGAUUAGAUACCCCAGUAGUC